UGCCGGACAGGAGGGCCCAGUCUUUCCACAAAGCACUAGCUCUGUCUGGCGUUUGUAUUACCAGACAACUAGCUUAUGUUGUCCAAUGUUCAUAGUACUGGAUAGUGCUCGAGAAUGCCCCAAAACCCCGUUUGACCUUUCUUUCUGUCAUUUCUACUUUUCUCUCUCACUCUCUCUCUCUCUCUCUGCCCAGAGCUCUUUCUCUCCACAAAGUUGCGGUCUGAAGCUCUACAACCACAGACAUUUGGCCAUCCUAAUUAGGUAGGUCUAAUGGUCGUGUAUUAAUCUGGAGAAAAUUAGAUUUAUGGUGGAUUAGGGUUUUGCAAUUCAAAAAACCCUAAUCCACAAUGAAUUAGAGAGAGAAACUCGAUCCUGAUUGCAAUAGGAAUCCCAAGUUGCUCUUGUAAAUCCUGUUGACUUUGAUGUUGCAAUCAAUUCGAUUCUUAUGUCAACUCACAAUCACUUUGAUUCAUUCAUUUUAAUUGCAAUCUCUUGAAAAGAAUUAUGCAAUGCCAACAUUGACACUCUGCAAAUGAAAUCACAAUAUCCAUGAGUUGGCUGACUUGGUUAAUGGGUUUUUUCAUUUGUUAUAUUUUGUUGUUGUGCUUUACGUCAAUAGAAAGUUUUAAGAGUAUCACAUUUAUGGGUUUUUUUAGGGUUUAGGUGGGCUUAUUAUGGAAAUUUUUUAUCUUUGUUUUGGGGUUCGAAUGGUGUAAUUAUAGCAGUGGUAGUUCCCUUUCGGAUUGUUGUCUUUCUUAUUGGUACUCUCAUGUGUGGGCCAUGUUUUUAUCUUAUUUCAACCGGCUAUCUUCACUAAUCUUUCUUAUUAACCACUAAUUCUAGAUAAAAUAUCAAAGUGUAUAUUUUCAGAGCUGCAAAAGCACCUACAAUUAUAAAUGGCUAUCUUGGUUCUUUUUGGAAAUCUAACAAAUAUUGAGAUUUGUCAAUUGUACAAAUUUCUCCAUAGCGCUUCUAAUUUCAUGCUGAUGUCAUAUCCUCAUGGAGACCUAUUUGUCAUUACUUCUUUUGGUGGUAUUGUGUUAUAACAUAUUAUUCAUUUAUUUAAAGUGUUAUAUAUUGUUAUGGCUUAAGUUUGAUUUAAGUCACGUCUUUUUUUGCUCACAUGUGCCAUUUUUUGUCAUGUGUGAAGUCAUGGGAUUUUGAUAAUUAAUUUAAUUUAUAUUAUUAUACACAUAUGAUUUUGUGACAUGUGGGUAUACUAUAUGUGACACCACCUUAUGGGCUUGACCCAUGUGAAACUUUAGUGUUGUUGAAAUCCAUUAGUGGUGUCAUAAGAUAUUUUAUUCACAUGUGUGGAUGUCUCAUAUUAUCUUUAUGUUCAUUUCCUUAUCUUUUAUUGACUCUCACACAUUAUUUAAAAAUCAUGGGCAUAAGUGUAAACAUGAAUUUAGAUUUAAUGGGAAAUAAAAUGUGGAGCUAAGGGUUUUGAGGUAAAAUGGCUAUAACCUAGCUUUUAAGGAGUGAAAGGUGUCAAAAGCUCAUCCAAGGCAUCAAGGCUCAAGAUCAAAUCCAUCUUUAUGAUCUAAGUACAAAAGUAACUUUUGGAAUCAUUUCAGAACCCUAACUUGAGUAUUCUCUUCAAAAAGAGAGAGUCAUAGCCCCCUUGACAAAAGCGUGGCUUCCAUGGACUAGUCCCUCAUGUGUGUGAUCAAGCCCAUCCUAUUGCUUCACUAAGGACCCUUUUUCGGCAAUUUUCAGGGGAGUGAAAAGGCAAAAGGAUUUAGGAAUGAAGAAUUAUUUAGAGAUGUGCUAGUUGGAGUGUACUCCAGGCACUGGUCCAGUGAAAGCAUCCGCUAAUGUUCGAACGCCCACUCUAGUGACGUUUUUGGUGUCCAACAACAAGAACAACCUAAUUAUGAGAGGAACUUGUUGAUAGGAGUAAGUAUUGGGAUGACUUGGAGGAAGGGGAGGAAUAGAUGGAAGAAGAGGAAUUGGAGGUUGGUAUUCAAUCAGUUGCCAGCCUCU